CAAGGCUAUUCAUACAACAACGUUUGGUGAAACCUUUGACAUGAUACUCGAUGAUGCCAAGGGUACAAAGUUCACCCUUAUGUGAAAAAGGAUAUGAUGAACCGGUUCCUCAAAUUCAAGAGGAGAAGUCUUGCAAUUUAAAUUUGAAUUCAAUAUUCGAAUGUACCAUCUGAUUUUACAUGAAAUGUUGAGAUUAGAGGUUAGAAGCAACUCUGACCUCCUUAUCCUUCUAUGUGUGAGUUGGCAGAUCGAUAUGAACUUGAAAGACAUGUAGGCUGAGAGAACCAGCCAAAGUAAUAGUAUUCCUUGACAAGCAAAUGACAUCAUCUCUUUUAACUUCAUAAUCCGUUAUUGCCCAACAAAUAUACUAUGAGCAAUCGAUCUAUGCAAAAUUCCAAUUCGAUGAAGAACUGGGACAUAUCAAAGAAUUGGGAUUCUAAAGCAUCAAGCAGUGAGAGAGCUCACGAAUUUGGAGGGCUCUUCUCCUCGAGAAGAAGAUGCC